AUGGUUCACUUGGAGGACGAGGGUCAGGAGAUCAGCAUCAGAGUGCGGGGAGAAGCCGACGACUUUGUCUGCUUGAGCGCACGGCGGGUAGUAGUUCAUCCUGACAGACUGCACUCCGCCCACGCAUCUGUCAGCAAUCACCUCUUGUUUCAGUCCCAAGUUCUCCGCCAACAUCGCCAAAAGGGAAUCCGCUAUCUCCUUCACAGCACCAGAGUAUCUAUCCAGCGUCGAUCUGAACGACAUUCAAAGUGCAACACUAAAAUUAUGAAGGUUAAGAGCGCAAUGUUCCAUCUAGUAAGGCAAGAGCUUGAAACAACAGGCUUGCAGUUAGCACUUAAUGAUGUUUUUUUAAUCAACUUUCUACCUAAUUUUUGCCCUCCGAGUAGGGUAUGGAGACAGCAAAAAAAGCAUCACUUCACUGUAAUUAGGUUGAACAGUAACAAGACAAGUACAGGCACAUACAUAACAAUCAUACCUGAAGUUAACAGGCUGGUCAGGCCAGAACUUGGUGUUCCUGCUCUCAGGUGGCUGUGUGUAGAGGUAAAGCAUAUCAGCCCAGUCAAGCUUCUGAUCCUCCGAGACGACGAACAGCUGACCGUAGCCUUCCAGCUGCCCUCGCUCCUGCGCGAAUCGUUUCUUUGUCUCUGCGGGUAG
rnacentral:rRNA from 1 species